AGUGAACGCUGGCGGCAUGCCUAAUACAUGCAAGUCGAGCGGCCACACAAUGAGCUUUUGCCCUUACCGGUGGCGGCUGGCGGGCGGGUAACACGUGGAUCACCUUCUUCUAUUUCGUGGAGGACUACGUAGAACCACUUCUGCUACCACCUCAUAUGACCUACCGCUUAAUGCAAGGGUUAUUCGCGGUUUUGCUGUCUCUUUUAGCCGAUGCCGGAUUAGCUAGUUGGCUGGGUAAGGGCCCACCAAGGCGACGAUGCGUAGCUGGUCUGAGAGGAUGAUCAGCCACACUGGAACUGAGACACGGUCCAGACUCCUACGGGAGGCAGCAGUGGGGAAUAUUGGACAAUGGGCGCAAGCCUGAUCCAGCCAUACCGCGUGGGUGAAGAAGGCCUUCGGAUUGUAAAGCCCUGUUGUUGGGGAAGAAAAACAGCAGGUUAAUACCCCGCUGUUCUGACGGUACCUAAAGAAAAAGCACCGGCUAACUUCGUG
rnacentral:rRNA from 1 species